CUGGGGGUUUCUAGGAAAGGAAACAAAGGAUGAAAGAGAGAGAGGGAGGGGCGACGGACAGAGCAAGAAGAAAACUGAGCUUGGGCUUUGAUUUAUGAGUUAGGAGCUAGAUUAGCAGCACAAGAGAACUCUUUGAUAUUGGGGAUCAGCUCGGAUGACUAGAUAGAAACCUUAGUUAUUUGAUAAGUAUUUUUUUGUAUAGAGUGUAUUUGAAUAUGUUACGACCUGAAAUUUAUGUUUAGUUUUGGUUUAGCGAUUGGUUGAGAAACUGAAAUUACUCUCUUUUGAUAUGUAUAUCCAUAUUAGAGCU